rnacentral:rRNA from 1 species
GUGACGAAGCGACGCCGCGUGUGGGAAGAAGGCCUUCGGGUUGUAAACCACUGUCGGGAGUUAAGAAAUGCAAGGGUGUUAAUAGCACCCUUGCUUGACUAAGGCUCCGGAGGAAGCCACGGCUAACUCUGUGCCAGCAGCCGCGGUAAUACAGAGGCGGCAAGCGUUGUUCGGAAUUAUUGGGCGUAAAGAGCACGUAGGCGGCUAUAUAAGUCGGUUGUGAAAGCCUUCCGCUCAACGGGAGAACAGCAUCCGAUACUGUAUGGCUUGAGUGUGGGAGGGGAGAGCGGAACUUCUGGUGGAGCGGUGAAAUGCGUAGAUAUCAGAAGGAACGCCGGCGGCGAAAGCGGCUCUCUGGCCCAUAACUGACGCUGAGUGUGCGAAAGCUAGGGGAGCAAACGGGAUUAGAUACCCCGGUAGUCCUAGCCGUAAACGAU